rnacentral:rRNA from 1 species
UACAGAGGUGGCAAGCGUUGUUCGGAAUUACUGGGCGUAAAGGGCGCGUAGGCGGCCCUCUAAGUCAGACGUGAAAUCCCCCGGCUUAACCUGGGAACUGCGUCUGAUACUGGACGGCUUGAGUAUGGGAGAGGGAUGUAGAAUUCCAGGUGUAGCGGUGAAAUGCGUAGAUAUCUGGAGGAAUACCGGUGGCGAAGGCGGCAUCCUGGACCAUUACUGACGCUGAGGCGCGAAAGCUAGGGGAGCAAACGGG